rnacentral:tRNA from 1 species
GGGCCGUUAGCUCAAUUGGUAGAGCAACUGACUCUUAAUCAGUAGGUCCACGGUUCGAUCCCGCGACGGCCCACCA